UAUCUCUGUAGAGUCUGCAUAUCAAUAAGCGGAGGAAAAGAAACUAACUAGGAUUCCCUCAGUAACGGCGAGUGAAGCGGGAAGAGCUCAAAUUUGAAAUCUUCAAGGUUCUACCUUGACGAAUUGUAGUUUAAAGAAGUGUUUUCUGUUGGAGUUUUGGUAAAAGUUCUUUGGAAUAGGACAUCAUAGAGGGUGAGAAUCCCGUAUUUGACCAUUAUUUCCAGCUUUGUGAUACACUUUCAAAGAGUCGGAUUGUUUGGGAAUGCAGUCCAAAAUGGGUGGUAAAUUUCAUCUAAAGCUAAAUAUUGGCGAGAGACCGAUAGCGAACAAGUACCGUGAGGGAAAGAUGAAAAGAACUUUGAAAAGAGAGUUAAACAGUACGUGAAAUUGUCAAAAGGGAAGCGUUUGACACCAGUGUUGUUUUCUCGAAAAUCAAUUAAAAAAGGCAGGAUUUUGUGUUGUAUUGACUUUAUCAGCUUUCUGCACUCUUUUCUUGUCUUUUUUAAUGCACUUUUCGUUUAACAAGUCAACAUCAAUUUCUUUUGUUGUAAAAGGGUCAUUGGAAGGUGGCUUUCUUUUCGGAGAAAGUGUUUAUAGCCUCUUGCCUAUGCAAGUCGGAGAGAUUGAGGUCUGCAGCGUAGAUCCUUCGGGGCUAGAUGCAUUUGUGCUAAGUUAUAGCAUUUUAUAGACAACUUGUUGACUAUGAUUUAGUCAUUGUAGCUUACUCGCUUAUGUUAUUUUACCUACGCUUAGGAUGUUGAAGUCAUCGUAUCGCGC
rnacentral:rRNA from 1 species